AUUGAACGCUGGCGGCAUGCCUUACACAUGCAAGUCGAACGGUAACAGGUCUUCGGAUGCUGACGAGUGGCGAACGGGUGAGUAAUACAUCGGAACGUGCCUAGUAGUGGGGGAUAACUACUCGAAAGAGUGGCUAAUACCGCAUGAGAUCUACGGAUGAAAGCAGGGGAUCGCAAGACCUUGUGCUACUAGAGCGGCCGAUGGCAGAUUAGGUAGUUGGUGGGAUAAAAGCUUACCAAGCCGACGAUCUGUAGCUGGUCUGAGAGGACGAUCAGCCACACUGGGACUGGGACACGGCCCAGACUCCUACGGGAGGCAGCAGUGGGGAAUUUUGGACAAUGGGCGAAAGCCUGAUCCAGCAAUGCCGCGUGCAGGAUGAAGGCCUUCGGGCUGUAAACUGCUUUUGUGCGGAACGGAAAGCCCCGGGUUAAUACCCUGGGGUCAUGACGGUACCGUAAGAAUAAGCACCGGCUAACUACGUGCCAGCCGCCGCCGUAA
rnacentral:rRNA from 1 species